UUCGCAAUGCCCGAAAGGGUGACGAAGCGACGCCGCGUGAGUGAGGAAGGCCUUCGGGUUGUAAAGCUCUGUCAGGAGUUAAGAAAUAUAAGUGUGUUAAUACCACAUUUAUUUGACGAAGGCUCCAAAGGAAGCCACGGCUAACUCUGUGCCAGCAGCCGCGGUAAUACAGAGGUGGCAAGCGUUGUUCGGAAUUAUUGGGCGUAAAGGGCACGUAGGUGGGUUUGUAAGUCAGAUGUGAAAGCCUUCUGUUCGACGGAAGAAUUGCAUCUGAAACUGCGAGUCUUGAGUGUAGGAGGGGAGAAUGGAACUUCUGGUGGAGCGGUGAAAUGCGUAGAUAUCAGAAGGAACGCCGGCGGCGAAAGCGAUUCUCUGGCCUAUUACUGACACUCGGUGUGCGAAAGCUAGGGGAGCAAACGGGAUUAGAUACCCCGGUAGUCCUAGCUGUAAACGAUGGGCACUAAGUAGAGGGGUUUUA
rnacentral:rRNA from 1 species